CAGUAGCCGCGGUAAUACAGAGGGUGCGAGCGUUAAUCGGAUUUACUGGGCGUAAAGCGUGCGUAGGCGGCUUCUUAAGUCGGAUGUGAAAUCCCUGAGCUUAACUUAGGAAUUGCAUUCGAUACUGGGAAGCUAGAGUAUGGGAGAGGAUGGUAGAAUUCCAGGUGUAGCGGUGAAAUGCGUAGAGAUCUGGAGGAAUACCGAUGGCGAAGGCAGCCAUCUGGCCUAAUACUGACGCUGAGGUACGAAAGCAUGGGAAGCAAACAGGAUUAGAUACCCGAGUAGUCCCUGUCUCUUAUAC
rnacentral:rRNA from 1 species